CCUACGGGCGGCUGCAGUGGGGAAUAUUGGGCAAUGGGCGCAAGCCUGACCCAGCCACGCCGCGUGAAGGAAGAAGGCUUUCGGGUUGUAAACUUCUUUUCUCAGGGACGAAGCAAGUGACGGUACCUGAGGAAUAAGCCACGGCUAACUACGUGCAAGCAGCCGCGGCAAUACGUAGGUGGCAAGCUUUAUCCGGAUUUACUGGGUGUAAAGGGCGUGUAGGCGGGACUGCAAGUCAGAUGUGAAAACCACGGGCUCAACCUGUGGCCUGCAUUUGAAACUGUAGGUCUUGAGUACUGGAGAGGCAGACGGAAUGCGUGGUGUAGCGGUGAAAUGCGUAGAGAUUAGGAGGAACACCAGUGGCGAAGGCAGUCUGCUGGACAGCAACUGACGCUGAGGCGCGAAAGCGUGGGGAGCAAACAGGAUUAGAUACCCGUGUAGUC
rnacentral:rRNA from 1 species